rnacentral:misc_RNA from 1 species
UCAAACUUGGUCAUUUAGAGGAAGUAAAAGUCGUAACAAGGUUUCCGUAGGUGAACCUGCGGAAGGAUCAUUACUGUAAGAGUUUAUAGGGUUUUGAGACUGUGUCCCCAAAAUGGGGCGCGUGCUCGACUCUUAUUCUUUCAUUCCACACACCUUUUGUGCACUAUGGGGAUGGCAACGUCCCCCUUUUUCAUAUUUAAACCCAAGUUAUAAUGCAUGGCUAUAAUACUCUACGGAGUUAAAAAAAGUAAUAACUUUCAACAACGGAUCUCUUGGCUUUCGCAUCGAUGAAGAACGCAGC